rnacentral:ncRNA from 1 species
UAAUAAUAAUUGAAAAUGAUUAUCAAUACCAAAUAGAACUCCCCCCACAUAUUCGUUCUUAUGGAUUGAUCAUUUUCGAAUUCCCCUUUUAUAUGCCCUUAAAAGACUAACGUAAAGCUUACAAUAACGCUAAACGUGUACAUAAAAGCAGCUCCCU